GACGAACGCUGGCGGCGUGCUUAACACAUGCAAGUCGGACGGUAAGGCCCUUCGGGGUACACGAGUGGCGCACGGGUGAGUAACACGUGGGUUAUCUGCCCUGCACUUCGGGAUAAGCCUGGGAAACCGGGUCUAAUACCGGAUCGGACUCCUGGCUUCAUGGUUGGGGGUGGAAAGCUUUUGCGGUGUGGGAUGGGCCCGCGGGCUAACAGCUUGUUGGUGGGGUAAGGGCCGACCAAGUGGACGACGGGUAGCCGGCCUGAGGAGGGGACCGGUGACAAUGGGACUGAGAUACGGCCCAGACUCCUACGGGAGGCAACAGUGGGGAAUAUUGCACAAUGGGCGCAAGCCUGAUGCAACGACGCCGGGUGAGGGAUGACGGCCUUCGGGUUGUAAACCUCUUUCAGCUAUGACGAAGCGCAAGUGACGGUAGUAGCAGAAGAAGGACCGGCCAACUACGUGCCAGCCGCCGCAGUAA
rnacentral:rRNA from 1 species